GCGCAGGGUGGGGCAUCGGCGGCGGAUAUAAGGUGUGGGCGAGCGUUGAUGGGAAUUAUUGGUGUGAAAGAGGGGGUAGGCUGUUCGUUAAGUCGUCGGUGAAAGUCAGGGGCGCAAACCAGGAAAUGCUGACUAUACUGACGGACUAGAGUCCGGAAGAGGGAAGUGGAAGUCCAGGUGUAGCGGUGAAAUGCGUAGAUAUCGGGAGGAACACCAAUGGCGAAGGCAGCAUGCUGGGACGAAACUGUCGCUGAGGCGCGAAAGCGUGGGGAGCAAACAGGAUUAGAUACCCGUGUAGUC
rnacentral:rRNA from 1 species